UGGGGAAUAUUGGGCAAUGGGGGAAACCCUGACCCAGCAACGCCGCGUGAAGGAAGAAGGCCUUCGGGUUGUAAACUUCUUUUAUCCAGGGAGCGAAGGACGUGACGGUACCUGGAGAAAAAGCAACGGCUAACUACGUGCCAGCAGCCGCGGUAAUACGUAGGUUGCGAGCGUUGUCCGGAUUUACUGGGUGUAAAAGGCGUGUAGGCGGAGAAGCAAGUUGGGAGUGAAAUCUAUGGGCUCAACCCAUAAACUGCUCUCAAAACUGUUUCCCUUGAGUAUCGGAGAGGCAAGCGGAAUUCCUAGUGUAGCGGUGAAAUGCGUAGAUAUUAGGAGGAACACCAGUGGCGAAGGCGGCUUGCUGGACGACAACUGACGCUGAGGCGCGAAAGCGUGGGGAGCAAACAGGAUUAGAUACC
rnacentral:rRNA from 1 species